GUUUUGAUAGAAAGAAAGAAGGAAAAGGUAUGUUGUAGCAGUCACAAGGACUGUGAUCCUAAGCAGGCGAGACAAAGAAAUUUGGGAGGUGAUAGGAGAUUGAAUCAGAAAAGUUUUAAAGGCAAAGGUAGAGGAUUUGGUCAAAGUUUCUAACUUUUGUAGAGGUAGCAACUUCAGUAUUGGUGGAACACACAGUUCUAAUUG